rnacentral:tRNA from 1 species
GCGGGAAUGGCGGAACUGGCAGACGCACUUGAUUUAGGCUCAAGAUAUUGAGGGUUCGACUCCCUUUUCCUGUA